GUGACACCAGGUGACCCCAUUACACAGCUUUAAAACCUCAAUUACUAGGCUCUUCUUUCUAGGAAGAAAAAGGAGGACAGCUUUGAAAAACAAUCACUUCCACCGAAUAAAAAGAAGACCUUUUUCAAUGUGAGUCUGAGUCUGUCCUCAUUUAAUGUGAAGCCAUUGAUUAGAUGAGACUCUUUUCUUCUUCUUCUUUUGCUCCAUUUUCAUCUCAGGUCUCUUUCCUUCAAAAGUUUAAAACCCUUCCACAAUGUCGUUUUUCUCACCAACCCAGUUCUUCAUCAUCAACGCUUUUCUCCUCCUCCAAACCCUCUUUUUUCUCACUCUCCACGCAGAUCACGUGACACCCGCCAAGGGCACGUGCCACGACACCUGCGGUACCAUCCCGGUGAAGUACCCGUUCGGAACCGAGUUCGGGUGUGGACACCCGGACUUCGCCCGUUACGUAAAAUGCAACGGUGGAACACUCCAGCUCACCACCGGCGCCGGAAGCUACACCAUUUCCUCCAUUGAUUACCCGAGCAACACCAUAAUCGUGGCCGACCCACUCAUGUCCACCUGCGCCUCCAUGCAAAACUCCGGCAGCUUCAGCUUGGACCGAGCCAGCCCUUUCACCAUCGCCGACGAGAACAUCUUCGUCCUCCUCGGCUGCUCCACCACCUCGCCCGUGUUCGACCCGGACCAAGACCUCUGCGAUACAGGGUCAGGCUCCCGUGUGUGCAGGGGUCUGUACUCGUGCAAGGGUGUGGCGGGAAUUGGUUUGCCGGCGAAUUCGCCGGCAUCCACGUGUUGCGUGUAUGAUUCUCCGAUGGGUUUCGGGUCGGGUUACGAACUGGAUCUUCCGAAGCUGCAGUGCUCGUCUUACACGUCGAUAUACGAGUUUGGAGACGAAGGUGAUCCAACGAAAUGGCGGUUUGGGGUGUCGUUGGAGUAUAAUGAUUCGUACUACACCAGUGGUUGUAGAGAUUGUGAAGAAAGUCAAGGGUUUUGUGGGUUUUCGGGUUUGGAUCAGUCUUUUGCUUGUAUUUGCCCCAAUGGGAUCAACACCACUGUCAACUGCUUUGGCCGAGAUAUGAUGAUGAUGCAAUGGUGAUAUAUUAUUGACAAAAAUAGGGUAUGCUUGGAGCGGGACAAUGGGCCUAGGAGUUCAAAUCAAGAUAAGUAUUGCGGGUUUUCUCUUGUCCUGUGCUUUACUUUUCAUUAGAAGCAGAUGAGAUAAGAUGGUUCAAUCAAAUAGCAUUUACUCGUAGAGACAUUUGGAGUGCAAGAAAUGGAAGAAAAAAGUACUCCCUAUUUCUUGGCUUUUUAAUACUUAUUAGAAGAGCUGUCAUCCAAAGCUGAUGGGACAAUUUUUGUCAAGUCUUACUUUUUCUUUUCUCUUCUUAGUUUAAUGUUCAUUUUUAUUUUAAUAUUUUACUUUUUAUUUACUUGUUAAUUAAUCUAGUACGUGUCCGUAUUGCCAUGUUAUCUAUGAAAAUUAAAUUUGAAAAUUAAAUUUGUCCUUCGGGAAA